UCUGAUGAAAUGAUGAAAAGACAUAAUUAAAAGUUGGAUCUUGCCUAGAUGUAUAUGAUAUCACAUGUUAUUCAUCACUUUCAUGAAAAACAUAAACCUGCCAGUCCAUUGGCAUGUGUUUUGAUGUGUUUGAAUAAUAUGAUCAUUCUACUUUUUUUUUUUUGUAACACUAUCAUUCUACAUCUAUUAAUGAAAUCUUUUUUUUUACGUCUAUUAAUGAAAUCUAUUAAGAGGUAACAAAAAUUCAUAAUAAUAUGAUCGUUUAUUAUGUGGUAUAAUAUGAUCAUUUUAUUAGCCUCUCUAAUAAAAAAUUCUCUUAAGUGGUAAUCAACUAAUAUAUACUUCAGUAUUUCCUAUAAUAUUGCGGUACAAAAUAAUUAAGUUCGAUUUUUGAAUACUUCUUCCCUAUGUUUCAAGCUAGAAAUAAUGUCUGAC